rnacentral:rRNA from 1 species
CAGUAGCCGCGGUAAUACGUAGGGUGCAAGCGUUACUCGGAAUUACUGGGCGUAAAGCGUGCGUAGGUGGUGGUUUAAGUCCGUUGUGAAAGCCCUGGGCUCAACCUGGGAAUUGCAGUGGAUACUGGGUCACUAGAGUGUGGUAGAGGAUAGUGGAAUUUCCGGUGUAGCAGUGAAAUGCGUAGAGAUCGGAAGGAACAUCUGUGGCGAAGGCGACUAUCUGGGCCAACACUGACACUGAGGCACGAAAGCGUGGGGAGCAAACAGGAUUAGAUACCCGAGUAGUCCCUGUCUCUUAUAA